ACUUUGAAGAGAGAGUUAAAGAGGACGUGAAACCGGUGGGGUGGAAACGGAUAGAGCCGGCGUUCUGACUCGUAAUCAGCGAUUUGCCCUGCAGGGGCUCUCGGUGCUCUGUUCGAGUGACUGUUUGCUUCCGGUGGGGCGCUCCGUGUAGACUUGCGGGUGGAGAGCACUGAGGGGCGUUCGGGAGGUGUCGGGUGGUCGUUCAGAGGAGGCGCUUGCGCAGAUCCUGUCCGGUCUCUCCGCGCAUCUCCCCGACGUCGCCAGCCGGGGAGCGGCGUGUAGCGGGGUGUGUUGGCUGCAAGGCUUGACGGUCCACGCGAUCAUCCUGCCACUGGCGGCUGGCUUCCUUCGUGGAGCGCCGUUCUCGCCUCGGUGUAGCUGCGGUCACCUAUCCGACCCGUCUUGAAACACGGACCAAGGAGUUUAGCGCAUACGCGAGUCAGUGGGCGGUAAACCCAAAGGCGCAACGAAAGUGAACAUGACAUGCGAUCUCGUCUCUCCGGGGCGGGCGCAGCAUUGCCCCGUCCCGAUCGC
rnacentral:rRNA from 1 species